rnacentral:misc_RNA from 1 species
UUUCCGUAGGUGAACCUGCGGAAGGAUCAUUCAUAAUAAGUGUUUAUGGCACUUUUUUAAAUCCAUAUCCACCUUGUGUGCAAUGUCAGGGUUGAUUUUUCUCUCGAGAGGAUCAACCCCAAACAUCAACUAUAUCUCAACUCUUUGUCUGAAAAAUAUUAUGAAUAAAACAAUUCAAAAUACAACUUUCAACAACGGAUCUCUUGGCUCUC